GGAGAGGUGGCCGAGCGGCUUAAGGCGGUAGUCUUGAAAACUACUGUACUCGCAAGAGUACCGGGGGUUCAAAUCCCUCCCUCUCCGCCA
rnacentral:tRNA from 2 species